UGGCUCAGAUUAAACGCUGGCGGCAUGCCUUACACAUGCAAGUCGAACGGCAGCGACGGGGGCAACCCUGGUGGCGAGUGGCGAACGGGUGAGUAAUGCAUCGGAACGUACCCAGUCGUGGGGAUAACGUAGCGAAAGUUACGCUAAUACCGCAUACGUCCUGAGGGAGAAAGCGGGGGACCGAAAGGCCUCGCGCGAUUGGAGCGGCCGAUGUCGGAUUAGCUAGUUGGUAGGGUAAAGGCCUACCAAGGCGACGAUCCGUAGCGGGUCUGAGAAGAUGAUCCGCCACACUGGGACUGAGACACGGCCCAGACUCCUACGGGAGGCAGCAGUGGGGAAUUUUGGACAAUGGGCGCAAGCCUGAUCCAGCCAUGCCGCGUGAGUGAAGAAGGCCUUCGGGUUGUAAAGCUCUUUCAGGUGGAAAGAAAACGCAUGGGUCAAUACCCUGUGUGGAUGACGGUACCAUCAGAAGAAGCACCGGCUAACUACGUG
rnacentral:rRNA from 1 species